GGGCCCCGGCCCGGACACCGGCCCCGCCGUCCCAGUGUUCAGACUACCUGUUCAGGGCUCUCGAUGUGUACAGUAGUCUGCACAUUGGUUAGGCGGGGCUGGGUGAGCAGCGCCCCUGGGG
rnacentral:pre_miRNA from 15 species